rnacentral:rRNA from 1 species
GACGAACGCUGGCGGCGUGCUUAACACAUGCAAGUUGAACGGAAAGGCCCUGCUUUUGUGGGGUGCUCGAGUGGCGAACGGGUGAGUAACACGUGAGUAACCUGCCCUUGACUUUGGGAUAACUUCAGGAAACUGGGGCUAAUACCGGAUAGGAGCUCCUGCUGCAUGGUGGGGGUUGGAAAGUUUCGGCGGUUGGGGAUGGACUCGCGGCUUAUCAGCUUGUUGGUGGGGUAGUGGCUUACCAAGGCUUUGACGGGUAGCCGGCCUGAGAGGGUGACCGGCCACAUUGGGACUGAGAUACGGCUCAGACUCCUACGGGAGGCAGCAGUGGGGAAUAUUGCACAAUGGGCGGAAGCCUGAUGCAGCAACGCCGCGUGCGGGAUGACGGCCUUCGGGUUGUAAACCGCUUUCGCCUGUGACGAAGCGUGAGUGACGGUAAUGGGUAAAGAAGCACCGGCUAACUACGUG